ensembl:lncRNA
UCUUCAGGAAAGCUGAAUUUGUUUUAUUGGAGUUGUACUGUGGAACAGGUCUUCCCCUGAACAGUGUGAAACACGCAGUCAUACAAAAGUAAGAAAAGUACAUAGUUUUCUAAUAUCUUUUCAGGUAGCACAUUAAAUUAAAAUCCAUCCACAGCAUUCAAACUGUGAUAUAUUUAAUCACACCCUAGCGUUUUCAUCAUCAUAUUUCUUUAAUGAACCCUUACUCCUUUAUCUUUGUGCUCUCAGUUGUAUGGCAACACAUAUUCGGCAUUUUUUUUUUUCUUGCGUGUUUGCAACAGAUGAGAGACUCCAUUCUCAAUAAAACAUAAAAUCGGCAACUUGAAACAACCCAAGUUUUUAUUUUUUUCCGAUUUCUUAAUGAAAUUGAUUUUACAUACGAUGCAAAGUUUUCUUUCUUAUUUUAUUAUGAUUUCCUGUUGGAUUCUUUCACACCUAACUGCUCUAAUGCUAAAGUGUUUGUUUUCUUCUUCUUCUGGCUGCUCCAGAAGAAGCAGCUUGAGGUUGACAUAUCAGAUCAUCUGCCCCCAUCUCACCUAAUCCAUAUCCUCGUCUUUGACGCCAACCCUCUACACGUCCGCCUUCACUACCUCCUCUGCAGUCUUAUUUCCCUCCUGCCUGGCAGCUCCAUAUUCAACAUCCUUUGUCCAGUACUUGCACUAUCCCUCCUCUGUACAUGUCCAAACCAUCUCAGCCUUCUCUUUGUAACUUUGUCUGAGCUGUCACUCUGAUUUACUCAUUUCUAAUCCUUUCAUUCCUGAUGUAAAUCUUCAGCUCUGCCUCCCGGCAGUGCUACCAUUUCAAAACUGUACAUCAGAGUAGGCCUCACUACCAUCUUGUAAACCUUCCCUUUCACUCUUUUUGCUAUCCUUUAGCCAAAAAUCACCCCUGACAGUCAUCUACGCCCACCUCCUCGACUCUGCCUGUGCUCUCUUCCUCACCUCUCUUGUGCAUUGUCUAAUGGCUGUUGGUUUGCAUGGUUGACCCGUUGUAUUUAAACUUACCCAUGCAACCUAACUACCUUCACUACCUGCAAGUGUUACAAAAUAAAUUCACUCCCAUUACUUUAGCAUUAAAAAAAAGUACCCACCCCCCUCAAACUGCAUCUGUUUGGUGCUUUAAGCACCUGAGAGUUGCUCAUCAGGUAGCUGCACAGCAUGAAAACAUACUUCCAUUAGGGACACAAAUAAAAAUGCUGUGCACAAAUGACAUUACCUUUCAAAAUAUGACACCUGAAAUUUUUCAUAUGAUGAAAUGUUGAUCUACAGUUUCACUUACGUAAUAGGAGUAAAGGGCAUAAGGGCAACAUGGUUCAGCUAACAUGUCUAAGGCUUAUGUUUCUUGUACAACCGUGGCACAUAUUUGCAAUGAAUGAGCCAAGUGUUACUGCAGUGUUUAAGCUUUAGUAGUUAGUCCAGGUUGCAUUCACUGGGUUUUGAUUAUGAUCUACUGUCUUGUUUUUAUCAUUCUCUUUCCUUUUCAGGAGCAUCAUGCUCCUCUGUUUCUUGUGGAUUUUCCUGCAUUUUGAACCUGUGAAGACAGCACUUACAUCACAGGAUACAGUAGAAACAGAACACAAAAACAGCUCUUUGGUAGUUAUUAGCAGAGGGAAGAAAGUUUGCGCUUGCAUUUCAAACAUUACAACUCACAGAGCCUCCCGGAAUUUAAAUCAGCAAAUUUUCGGCUACCCAGAUUCUUUUAUGUAAAUUAAAAAAACUGCAGUAAACCCCUUAAAUGCUUUUAAAAGAGGACUGCUGAUGUCCUUUCCACAUCACUCACAUGUCAAACAGCAAAUAUCCACAAUGCUAAACUUCAUCAGUAGAAAAAUAUACAUUGGCUAGGUAUUCUUCUCCUCUACAUUUAAAAUAUAGUUGGAAAAUAUCAAUAAUAAACAAAAACGGGCAGUUGGAGCCAAAUUCAAGGGAAACUGAGUGAAUGGAAACUCUGCAGUCCGAAAGUUUAGGGAUGCAUUUCCUCUGUUUCUUCUUCUAGAGGGCAUUCUUGAUGAAAUCCAGCCUUACUUGUUCAGGCACAGGAAGUGGUGUGGAAUCACAGAGUGGUGCGCAGCAGCCGAAUGGCUCGCUGGUAAAGCUGUUGGACAACUGACACCAGAUUCC